rnacentral:lncRNA from 1 species
AACAAUAUUGUUAUAAUCCAAUUACAAAAAAGAAAAUUGGUUAACAUAAUUAUUUUCACAGGUAACUCCCACGUUAAAAAAAAUACGAUCAAAACUAGGAGAAAUAAAGUUUACCUUAAAAAUGCCACUAAAACGUGAUGUACGCUCACUAAGUAAAGGUAUUAAACAAAUCGAACAACUUUUAAUCAAAAUAUGCUAAAUAACCUACACAUUUGUACAGCAAAUGUUAAAGGACUUCGAGAUAAACAAAAGAGA